rnacentral:lncRNA from 1 species
GGGAAAGGCCCCCUAGGAGUUGUUGGAAUGGACUCUGCCUUCCUGAUGGUGACCAGGGGCAGGACACAUUCCAAAAGGGAUUCCCGAGAUUAGCAACCCGCUUGGCAAGUCCUUCUCACAGACGUGAAAACACGUGUCCCCCUACUCCCUCCUCAGCUGCUCAGAGAACAGAAGGAGCCCGGGGCCCGGACAGAUCGCAGGAGGGACUCCAGUCACAUCUGCUGCUCCGCAUGCUGAUGCACGACAGUCACCUGCUCCCGCCAUGGCUCUGGGGGGCUUUUCCCAAGCACCCUCAGGGCACGCGUCCUGCUCUCCAGGGCCAUCACAACUCAGGAAACUCCAAAUCCUCAUCCUAAGGAACACACAGGCCCAUGGCCCCCAGGAGCACACUGGGACCUGCCCUGGGCCCUUUGAUAAGACGUGCAUCCCAGAAGGCAGUAAUCAAGCCACCUUCGGGGUCCCUCCCCAGGGAAAGAGCACGCCCGCUGCCUGUGGCGCCCCGACUGCUCAGGAAGAGGCACGUGGGAGGUCGUCUGGUUUGGGAAACACGCUGCCUCCGCGGCAGGUGUCUUCUCUGUACUCCGUUGCCGGCAUCCAAACACCUACUGGGUCUGAGUCGGGCCAAGAGCAGGGGAAGGCCCAGGAACAGACCAGGCUGCCCUGGCCACACGCCAGGCAGCAGACCCAACGCUGGUGACAGGUUUGUGACAGAAGCAUGUGGCAGGUCCCCCAGGUGACUCACAGCACGAUGCAUUAGCAGUUGACAACUAUUCUCAUCUUCAGGAAUAUCUGCUAUGAAAUUCGCUUCUGGGACUUAGAGACUGAACACGUAGGCACGGACCACCCAGUCACCCUGUGACCAGAGCUGCCUGUCACGAGUGGGGGUUGUCAGAUCUGUCCAGCCAGAAAACUGGAAAUCCAGGGAACGCCUCAAGCAGUUCCUGAGCCGGCAGAAUGAGGGACGCUCUUCUGAAGAGCCGGGUGCUGUGGCCCCUGGUGGCCAGGCCCUGGGGUUGGGCAGCGUCCUCCGGAGUGGAGUCUGAGCUCUCAGUCACACACAGUGCCCGGUGCUUUCUCUCCCAGAGCCAGGCGCAG